ACUGUCAGGCUUGGGAUCGGGAGAGGUAUGAGGUACUUCAGGGUAGGGGUAAAAUCCUGUAAUCCUUGGAGGACCACCGGUGGCGAAGGCGUCAUACUAGAACGAAUCCGACGGUGAGGGACGAAGCCCUAGGUCGCAAACGGGAUUAGAUACCCCGGUAGUCUAGGGUGUAAACGCUGCAGACUUGGUGUUGGGGGCCCUUCGGGGGCAUUCAGUGCCGGAGAGAAGUUGUUAAGUCUGCUACUUGGGGAGUACGUCCGCAAGGAUGAAACUUAAAGGAAUUGGCGGGGGAGCACCGCCAACGGGAGGAGCGUGCGGUUUAAUUGGAUUCAACACCGGAAAACUCACCAAGGGAGACCAUCACAUGAAAGCCAGACUAAUGACUUUGCUUGAUUCUUGGAGGGGAGGUGCAUGG
rnacentral:rRNA from 1 species